rnacentral:rRNA from 1 species
ACGGAGGGUGCAAGCGUUGUCCGGAAUCACUGGGUGUAAAGGGUGUGUAGGCGGAGCUGUAAGUCAGAGGUGAAAUCCUACGGCUCAACCGUAGAACUGCCUUUGAUACUGCAGCCCUUGAGUAUCGGAGAGGUUGCUGGAAUUCGUGGUGUAGCGGUGAAAUGCGUAGAUAUCACGAGGAACACCAGAGGCGUAGGCGGGCAACUGGACGAUUACUGACGCUGAGGCACGAAAGCGUGGGGAGCAAACAGG